UACGGGGGGGGCAAGCGUUGUUCGGAAUUACUGGGCGUAAAGGGCGCGUAGGCGGCCUUCUAAGUCAGACGUGAAAUCCCUCGGCUCAACCGAGGAACUGCGUCUGAUACUGGAAGGCUUGAAUCCGGGAGAGGGAUGUGGAAUUCCAGGUGUAGCGGUGAAAUGCGUAGAUAUCUGGAGGAACACCGGUGGCGAAGGCGGCUACCUGGACAGAAACUGACGCUGAGGCGCGAAAGCUAGGGGAGCAAACAGG
rnacentral:rRNA from 1 species